rnacentral:rRNA from 1 species
UACGAAGGGGGCUAGCGUUGCUCGGAAUUACUGGGCGUAAAGCGCACGUAGGCGGCUUCUUAAGUCGGUGGUGAAAUCCUGGAGCUCAACUCCAGAACUGCCUUCGAUACUGGGAAGCUCGAGUCCGGGAGAGGUGAGUGGAACUGCGAGUGUAGAGGUGAAAUUCGUAGAUAUUCGCAAGAACACCAGUGGCGAAAGCGGCUUCCUGGUCCAGCACCGACGUCAGGCACGAAAGCGUGGGGAGCAA